rnacentral:rRNA from 1 species
GCCAGACUCCUACGGGAGGCAGCAGUGAGGAAUAUUGGGCAAUGGGGGCAACCCUGACCCAGCCAUGCCGCGUGAGUGAAGAAGGUCUUCGGAUUGUAAAGCUCUUUCGGACGUGACGAUGAUGACGGUAGCGUCUAAAGAAGCACCGGCAAACUCCGUGCCAGCAGCCGCGGUAAUACGGAGGAUGCGAGCGUUAGCAGGAUUUAUUGGGUUUAAAGGGUGCGUAGGCGGACUGUUAAGUCAGCGGUAAACCCGCGGGGCGCAACCGCGGCGAGCCGUUGAAACUGGCUGUCUUGAGAUGUCGAGAGGUAUGCGGAAUGCGCAGUGUAGCGGUGAAAUGCUUAGAUAUUGCGCAGAACUCCGAUUGCGAAGGCAGCAUACCGGCGGCGAUCUGACGCUGAGGCACGAAAGCGUGGGUAUCGAACAGGAUUAGAUACCCCUGUA